rnacentral:rRNA from 1 species
CAGCACCUCAAGUGGUCAGGAUGAUUAUUGGGCCUAAAGCAUCCGUAGCCGGCUCUGUAAGUUUUCGGUUAAAUCUGUAUGCUCAACAUACAGGCUGCCGGGAAUACUGCAGAGCUAGGGAGUGGGAGAGGUAGACGGUACUCGGUAGGAAGGGGUAAAAUCCUUUGAUCUAUUGAUGACCACCUGUGGCGAAGGCGGUCUACCAGAACACGUUCGACGGUGAGGGAUGAAAGCUGGGGGAGCAAACCGGAUUAGAUACCCGAGUAGUCC